GUCCCGAGUGGCAUCAAGAAGCCACAUAAAACCCAAGAAGCUUGUGAUCCAGUGUAGAUUAAGACUUGGGGCUGCCUCUCACUCAUUCUUACACUUUAUUCUCUCUUUCUCUCAUUUUCCACCCCCCGCCAACUGUGUGGUACCUUGAGGGAGGCGCCCAAAGAUUUUCCAUAUGCUCAGAUGUCAUAGUGAGACGAGAGAUGUUAAGAGAAAUAUUUGUGCCUGGAAAGUAAUGCUGCAGCCUUCAUUUAUUAACAGUGAACAGACAAGGGCAACCCAGGAGGUCACUUACAUCAGCAGCCUCUCCAUCCGCAUAAGGUAGUGAUGGUGAUUCUGACCCAGAGAACCUUCCGGAGACCUCAGCUUAGAGCCCAGCACACAGUAAGUUUUCCCAGAGAGAUGAUGCAGACGUAUGGCGAUGAGGAUACUGGGUAGAGGCCGUCACAGCAUUCUCCAGGUAAACCCGGCUCCCUUGUCUGUAAAGUGGGAGCAAGAAGCAGGCCAGCAGGUGGCUAGGAGAGUGCGCACGCGCAUGGUAACUUAAGGGAUGAAGGUGGGCCCUCUGCUGGCAGGCAGUCUGAGGGGCUGCCACGUCCCGCAUGCUCUGGGGCCAGGGUUGUCCUGGACCCUGGAGGUGAAGGUUAUCCCUCCAUGACCAGUCCUCACCCAGGUCCUCUGAGGAGAAGUGGGCUUGAGCACAGAGUCACCUCAGGCACAGAGCCAUCUCGACGAUAGAAGGAUGGUGGCACCGUGGACUGAUGACUGCUGCUGGUCAACAUAGGAAGGGAACGGGGGUGGGGGAUGGGGGCUAGAUUGGACUUUUGUACCACACAUUUGCAGAUCAUAAAAUUGUAUUUUGAGAAAGCAUUUUCAUCCAAUUCCCCCUUGUUCUGUUUCCAGGUAAAAAAAGAAAUUAUUGGUUAAUUUGAACUUUUACACUUUUAUCAAGGCUCAUUAUCAAAGGUUUGCCGUUGGAAUUUGUAGGAUUUAAAAAAAAAUCAAAUGGAAUGACAGCCUUUUGAGAUGAAGCCAUUCUGG
rnacentral:lncRNA from 1 species